AUUGAACGCUGGCGGCAUGCUUUACACAUGCAAGUCGAACGGUAACAGGCCGCAAGGUGCUGACGAGUGGCGAACGGGUGAGUAAUGCAUCGGAACGUGCCCAGUCGUGGGGGAUAACGCAGCGAAAGCUGCGCUAAUACCGCAUACGAUCUCUGGAUGAAAGCGGGGGGCCGAAAGGCCUCGCGCGAUUGGAGCGGCCGAUGUCAGAUUAGGUAGUUGGUGGGGUAAAGGCUCACCAAGCCAACGAUCUGUAGCUGGUCUGAGAGGACGACCAGCCACACUGGGACUGAGACACGGCCCAGACUCCUACGGGAGGCAGCAGUGGGGAAUUUUGGACAAUGGGCGCAAGCCUGAUCCAGCAAUGCCGCGUGCAGGAAGAAGGCCUUCGGGUUGUAAACUGCUUUUGUACGGAACGAAACGGUCCUGGUUAAUACCCGGGGCUAAUGACGGUACCGUAAGAAUAAGCACCGGCUAACUACGUGCCAGCCGCCGCGGUAAAAC
rnacentral:rRNA from 1 species